rnacentral:ncRNA from 1 species
UCUUAUCAAGAGUGGCAGAGGGAUACGGCCCGAUGAUGCCCGGCAACCGGUUUCCCAGGGAUUCCUGGAAACAGCGGUGCCAACGCCGUCAAGUCGACCGGUGACUUGAAUCGAUGAG